rnacentral:misc_RNA from 1 species
UUAGCAUUUACUGGAGUCCUUUCACCCGCCAUGUGCAAAGCUAUCCGCGCAGCUGUUUUAUCAGUUGAACCAGCCUUUGCAGCAGCAGCACUUCUUCCAUGAACUGACGCAGAUGCAGCAUCCACAAUGCUGAAAGUCUGCUGCGCUGUUCCUUCACCAUUUUCUUUUGUUUUCGCGUCAUCUUUGAUACGUGAUCUUGCAGCUAAAAUAGCCUCAAGAGCAGCAGCUCUUUCAUUCUGUGCCUUGUUCCCACCUCCACCAUGCAGUGCAAUCUCUUUCGCUUUCUCACUUCCAAGUUCCUUGAGCAUUUGCUUGAUGUCCCCAGUAAUAUUUAUGUUGUAUGUUGGGUCAGAAUGCAUUUUCUGUAUUUCUUCAUCGUCAACCUUUAAAUUUUUCUUAACAUGAUCAAAAUCUAGAAGCACCUUGGUG